UACGUAGGGGGCAAGCGUUGUCCGGAAUCAUUGGGCGUAAAGAGCGUGUAGGCGGCCAGAAAAGUCCGCUGUGAAAACUCGAGGCUCAACUUCGAGCUGUCGGUGGAAACUUUCUGGCUAGAGUCCGGUAGAGGAGAAUGGAAUUCCUGGUGUAGCGGUGAAAUGCGUAGAUAUUGGGAGGAACACCAGUGGCGAAGGCGGUCCCCUGGGCCGGAACUGACGCUGAGGCGCGAAAGCGUGGGUAGCAAACGGG
rnacentral:rRNA from 1 species